ACAAGAACAAUAAGAAUCACAGCAGCACACAAUAAAAAUAAGACGUAUCGGCUCACGCAUAACAAGAACAACACGGCGGAGGCGCAGCUAACUGAUUGUUUUGGAGAGGUGUUGUAAAUGGGGCUUGCCCCGCGACCAGGCAGAGAACAACAAAAACUGCACUUAAAGCAGAGCCUGAACUGGUUGGAUCAUUGAUCACAUCAACGCAGCGACCAAAGCAAUCCGUUUGCUCUUAUCUCCCGAUUGGGAGGGUUGCACAGGCAAGACCUUUGUAACCAGGGCGAUUAACAAAAACAAAAAGCCCGCAAUCAAUAAUAAAAAUAGAGCACGCAACUAAUUCUGGGGGAGCUUCGGCUCCCCUUGUGGUUUCUG
rnacentral:sRNA from 1 species